rnacentral:rRNA from 1 species
GAUGAACGCUAGCGGCAGGCCUAAUACAUGCAAGUCGAACGAGAUUAAGAGGCUUGCUUCUUAUGAAAGUGGCGCACGGGUGCGUAACGCGUAUGCAACCUACCUUAAUCAUGGGGAUAGCCCGAAGAAAUUCGGAUUAAGACCGCAUAAAAACACAGGAUAGCAUUAUCCAAUGUUCAAAUAUUUAUAGGAUUAUGAUGGGCAUGCGUGUCAUUAGCUAGUUGGCGGGGUAACGGCCCACCAAGGCGACGAUGACUAGGGGAUCUGAGAGGAUGACCCCCCACAAUGGUAAUGAGACACGGACCAGACUCCUAAGGGAGGCAGCAGUAAGGAAUAUUGGUCAAUGGAGGGAACUCUGAACCAGCCAUGCCGCGUGCAGGAAGACAGCCCUCUGGGUCGUAAACUGCUUUUAUUCGGGAAUAAACCUUUCUACGUGUAGGAAGCUGAAUGUACCGAAGGAAUAAGGAUCGGCUAACUCCGUG